GAAGUGUUGUAUGAAGCACAAAUCAAGGUAUUGGCGUGCCUCAAUUUGAAGACAUGGUUAAGAUGAAAACCAGCCAUGUAAUUUUAAUUGAGCCGCGUCAAUAUCUCAUCUUGCACUUCUUUCCAUCUUCAUC
rnacentral:pre_miRNA from 1 species